CAAAACCUUAUGCAAAGUUGCAAGCCUUGCACCAUUUCCUUCUCUGACAACAUCCUGGAAGUAAGGAGAAGGAAGAAAUACUUAAGAAUUCACAUUGAGUAAUUGUGGAUCUUCAUCUGUGCUGGAAUCAUGUUCAACAGGAUCUUGGGUAGGUUGUAGAAGGAACUGACCUGUGAAUUUGUCUAGCACGGAGUGCAUGAUUAUAGACCUGCUGGUUGUUUCCCACCUCUAACAUGUAGUGCGGCAGCCUGUUCGUAGUUGGCUGACAGUUCUGGUCAACCAUGACAAACAACUCUAGCAAUGCUUCCGCAGUACAACACCUACCAAUGCUAAGAAACAACUGCUGGCAGUCCUCAUAAUGAUUUACACAUUGAUCGAGUGACAUUUCUUCUCUAGAGUUUUUCAAUGAAGUACUGCACUGUGCCCAUUACUGCCAUGUGCCCAUUACUGCAUUGUGCCCAUUUCUCGAACAGAAUUAUUGUAAAGCCUCCUUAAAAACAAGCUGAAAAAGGAAUACUGCUCAUAUAUACAUUGCAUAAGAUACAUUAUAGGUAGACCAUUUAAAGAAAAGUAAUGGAUUCUAUUGCUCUCCUCUUACUUUUCUUGUCAUUAGGAACUGGUCAAAAAGUAUAACAGAUGGGCUGCUGCAGAGAUAACAGUGACAUCCCAGGAAGACGAUCAGCCCUGAUACAAAAGUGCCAGUGGAGCUGUUCUCUUUUCUGGAUUUUGGUCCAACAGGAUCAUCUGAGACAGACCUGUGAAUACCGUUGGACAAAGGGUUUGGAUUUCUUUUAUGAUCUCCAAAAAAUUUAGCUUUCUCAAGCCAAGAUAUCCCCUUGAUCUAAGAAACAAGUUCAUCCCUCUUCUUGUCACUUCCACUAACUCUCUGUCAACUUGGUUCCUAAGACUUGACAGCAUCUCAGUUCCAGAAUCUGUCUUACUAGUGCUUGUUGUCUACAUAAAAUUUUUGUCCAGGAUCAUGUGAAAUGGCAUUUGUUCUUUCAGAUGUAGAGAGGGAAAGGUGCAUCUGGUGAGGCAUUUUUUCUUUUUAUGUUUAUUAGUUAAUUUUGCGACACAAAUCAUUCUUGAAAAAUUAUUUCAAGGCUUAAAACUGCCAUUUGAAAUGUAAACCAAGAAGGAGAGUGCUACUUUUACAGAAGAAUGAUUACUUUUAACCACAACUGUGUGUUUAGCUUACGAUUUAAAUGUUCACAAAAUUUCAGAACAAUAAUAUACUACUCAAUAGAGAUAUUCUGCAACCACAUGACUAAAAUACCUUAAAAAUGACAGUUACAAAACUUACCGAUUUAGGUAGGUUGCCAGCUUUAGAAUAAUAUUUUCCUGUUCUUUCAUAAUGCUAUAAUUCCACAAAAUGCCAUGCAUCUGUAAAAUAUUUUUAGUCAUUGCUCUUUAUAUUUGUAAGAAGUUGGAAUGUAGUGACACCGCUGCCUCCUUGCAACACGAUGUUCCUAUUUAAGUCUGCACAACAAAGUUGUGUUUGGAUAGCACACUGUUUUUUGUUGCCAUCUGAAUAGACAUCUUUUUAUUUUUAAUUGACAAUUACCUAUA